AUGAUUUAUGGCACUGGCUAUUCCUCUAUCCUUCUGAAUGGUGUCCCUGGCAAACAAUUUUUAUGCUUAAAAGGGGUCAGACAGGGAGAUCCACUAUCCCCUCUCAUCUUUGUACUUGCAGCUGAUAUCCUGCAAAGCAUGCUUAAUGAAGCCAUGAGAAAUCACCUGAUACAGCCACCAUUGCAACAUAACUCUGCUGCUGAUUUCCCAAUUGUACAGUAUGCUGAUGACACUGUACUUGUAGCUCAGGCUGAUCUCAGGCAAGUACAACAUAUCAAGAAUCUGCUUUUGCACUAUGCUGAAUUCUCUGGCCUGCAGAUUAAUUAUGCCAAGUCCACUCUCAUCUCAAUCAACACUGCACAUGAGAAAAUGCUGGAACUGUCAGCUCUGCUUGGCUGUAAGAUUGGCUGUUGGCCUCACACUUAUCUGGGCCUCCCUUUGAGCUCUGCCAAACCCAAAGUUCAAGACUUCAUGCCUAUGUUGAAAAGAAUUGAGAACAGAUUGCUUAGUUGCUCAACUAUGCUAUCCACUGGAGAUAAGCUUACACUUCUCAAAUCAGUAUUCACCAGCAUGCCAACAUUCUUCAUGUGCACUCUCAUGAUCCCAAAGACUGUGCUUAAGCAAAUCAACUCCUAUCUGAUGAAUUGCUUCUGGAGAAAAUAUGGGACACAAGACAGAGGCAUGGUUUUGAUUGCUUGGGAAAAAGUCUGCCUUCCUAAAUCCCAUGGUGGCUUGGGUGUUCUAGAUUUGCAGGCACAUAAUCAAGUCCUUCUCGUGAAAUUUCUUCAUAAAUUCCUCAACAGAGAGGACAUCCCUUGGGUCAAUAUUGUAUGGGAAGCAUAUUACCAAGACAGUCUACCAGGAGAUAGAUUGAUUGGGUCAUUCUGGUGGAGAGCAAUACUUAAACUUCUUCCUACCUUCAAGGCCCAUACAAGGUGCAAAGCUGGCAGAGGAGACACUAUACUUUUUUGGUCAGACAAGUGGUUAAACAUGCCUCUGAACACCCAAUUCCCUGAACUUCAUUCUUUUGCUAUCAAUGCUUACAUCACCUUGGCUCAGGCAUAG
rnacentral:rRNA from 1 species